GACUAUGCAGCACUUGGGUGAUUGUUGGACGUCUUCUUGGAUCUUGAGUAAGGCAUUGUGAAAUGAUGGUCGCAAAGUCGUGUUUAGGAUGCUUUUAUUUGCUGGAUGUCAUGGAAUCAAGCUUAGGUGGUCUAGAAACAAACUAAGUAAACUUGAGUUGUCGGAACAAUAUUAUUGUCUUUGAGAACUAUGUCUGUAAUAACUGUUUUACUUUAUAUGUUAUGGUAUGGGACAUUACAUUAAAUAUUUGGUAAUUAUAGUUGUUAUGGAUUC
rnacentral:lncRNA from 1 species